CGUACAACAUCUGCAGCCUGAAACGUGAGGGGAGGGGGUGAGGGGCAAAAAAAGCUGCUCUGUACUUAGAACAGCGGGGCGUCAGCUCAGCGCGGAUCACAAAGAGGUAUGCAUGACGAACACGGGAGGGAACGACAGUCUGUCUGGCAUCUGGCUACAAAAGCUCCUGUGCAAGAGCAGCCAGGACAUUCCAGUCAGAUCCCAGGAUACAGUGAAUGAGUGCUCUCUGUCCUUGGCAGAGCCAACCUGCAAUCAUUGAUGGGCAACGCCGAGGUUAAAAAA